GAUGAACGCUGGCGGCGUGCCUAACACAUGCAAGUCGAACGAAGCUUGACGGAUGAUUUCUUCGGAAUGAAACCAGAUAUGACUUAGUGGCGGACGGGUGAGUAACACGUGAGCAACCUGCCUUUCAGAGGGGGAUAACGGCUGGAAACGGUCGCUAAUACCGCAUGAUGUGUUCGGAUGGCAUCAUCUGAACAUCUAAGAUUUAUCGCUGAAAGAUGGGCUCGCGUCUGAUUAGAUAGUUGGUGGGGUAACGGCCUACCAAGUCUACGAUCAGUAGCCGGACUGAGAGGUUGAACGGCCACAUUGGGACUGAGAUACGGCCCAGACUCCUACGGGAGGCAGCAGUGGGGAAUAUUGCACAAUGGGGGAAACCCUGAUGCAGCAACGCCGCGUGAAGGAUGACGGUUUUCGGAUUGUAAACUUCUUUUCUUAGUGACGAAGACAGUGACGGUAGCUAAGGAAUAAGCAUCGGCUAACUACGUG
rnacentral:rRNA from 1 species